rnacentral:misc_RNA from 1 species
GGUCAUGAAACCGCGGCCGCAACCCGCCAGCGCAACAAGGACAAGGGAGCCGACGACGAACCAACUCACUCCACGCGUCAUCCGCGCAAGUUCACCGAAGAUAAUUAAAGACUCUUCAACGCAUUGUUAUUCAAGGUUUUUUAACCAUGUUGGCGCGCCGCGGCCGAUGAUCCGUCAGCAGGUCUGACUUUUUUGAAGGGGGAACGUCUUGGUAGCGUCCGCGUUACAUGACCCAGCGUUGNNNNNNNAUUCCCCAUGACCAUCGUCGGACCUCUGAGCGUCGUUGCAGCGUAUGCGUCGUUUAUUCUU